rnacentral:miRNA from 1 species
CUUCCGGCCAUCGAGAUUGUAUGGUCUCGAUGACCGGAAGGAAUCCUUUCGGUCAUCGAGACUGUAUGGUCUCGAUGACCGGAAG